UACGUAGGGUGCAAGCGUUGUCCGGAAUUAUUGGGCGUAAAGAGCUCGUAGGCGGUCUGUCGCGUCGGCUGUGAAAUCCCGAGGCUCAACCUCGGGUCUGCAGUCGAUACGGGCAAACUAGAGUAUUGCAGGGGAGACUGGAAUUCCUGGUGUAGCGGUGAAAUGCGCAGAUAUCAGGAGGAACACCGGUGGCGAAGGCGGGUCUCUGGUCCGGUACUGACGCUGAGGUGCGAAAGCGUGGGGAGCAAACAGG
rnacentral:rRNA from 1 species